AGAGGCGCACGGGUGCGUAACACGUAUGCAAUCUGCCCCUAACAGGGGAAUAGCCCGGCGAAAGUCGGAUUAAUACCCCAUAACAAUGUGAAUCGGCAUCGGUUUAUAUUUAAAGCUCCGGCGGUUAGGGAUGAGCAUGCGCGACAUUAGCUGGAUGGCGGGGUAACGGCCCACCAUGGCUACGAUGUCUAGGGGGUCUGAGAGGAUUUUCCCCCACACUGGUACUGAGACACGGACCAGACUCCUACGGGAGGCAGCAGUAGGGAAUAUUGGGCAAUGGACGCAAGUCUGACCCAGCCAUGCCGCGUGAAGGACGAAGGCCCUAUGGGUUGUAAACUUCUUUUGUACGGGAAGAAACCCCUCUACGUGUAGGGGGCUGACGGUACCGUAAGAAUAAGGAUCGGCUAACUCCGUGCCAGCAGCCGCGGUAAUACGGAGGAUCCAAGCGUUGUCCGGAUUUAUUGGGUUUAAAGGGUGCGUAGGCGGAUUACUAAGUCAGAGGUGAAAGUUUGCAGCUUAACUGUAAAAUUGCCUUUGAAACUGGUAGUCUUGAGUAUAGUUGAGGUGGGCGGAAUGUGUCAUGUAGCGGUGAAAUGCUUAGAUAUGAUACAGAACACCGAUUGCGAAGGCAGCUCACUAAACUGUAACUGACGCUGAGGCACGAAAGCGUGGGGAGCAAACAGGAUUAGAUACCCUGGUAGUCCACGCCCUAAACGUUGAAUACUCGUUGUUGGCG
rnacentral:rRNA from 1 species